rnacentral:ncRNA from 1 species
ACCGUUGCUGAAUAACAAGACGGCUAAAGACUGUUACGGAUAAAGGGCAGCCAAGGUUUCAUUGCGACGUUGCUUUUUGAUCCUUCGAUGUCAGCUCUUCCUAUCAUACUGAAGCAGAAUUCACUAAACGUUGAUUGUUCACCCACUAAUAGGGAACGCGAACUGGGUUUAGACUGUCAUGAGAUAAGUUAGUUUUGCCCUAUAAAUGAAAUGUUCUUGCACUAGCAACUGAAUUUAGUACGAGAGGAACCAUUCAUGCUGAUAAUUGGUAUUUGGACCUGUCUGAGCAGGCAUUGGCUCGAUGUUAUCAUCCGUUGGGUUAUGGCUGGCCGUCUCUAAGCCUGAACCCGUGCUAGAACGCGACGAUUACUGCCUUUUGCGACUUUUAGUUGAAUACGAAUCGAACUUCGGAUCCUAAAUCACACUACAAGGGGGUCGAUCUUAUAGAGCGGAAAGGCUUUGUGAGGUUCCUGCUAAUGUUACUUUAUAAUAUUGGAAGAGAUAGAUAUAUUGCAGACGACUUUGAUUGAGCGGGGUAUUUUUGGCUGUAGAGUAGCCUUGUUGCUACGAUCUGUUAAGAUUAAGCCCAAUAUUCCAUAUAUGU